UGAGGGAUAUUGGUCAAUGGGCGCAAGCCUGAACCAGCGACGCCGCGUGGGUGAAGAAGGUCUUCGGAUCGUAAAGCCCUUUUCCCACUGAAGAGGAAGGACGGCAGGUGGGGAAGAAGUCUCGGCUAACUACGUGCCAGCAGCCGCGGUAAAACGUAGGAGACAAGCGUUAUCCGGAGUUACUGGGCGUAAAGGGCGUGCAGGUGGCGUCUUAAGUCUGUUGUGAAAGCGCCUGGCUUAACCGGGCGAGGCCAAUGGAGACUGAGAGGCUGGAGGACGGCGGAGGGGUGUGGAAUUCCGGGUGUAGUGGUGAAAUGCGUAGAGAUCCGGAGGAACACCAGAGGCGAAGGCGGCACUCUAAGCCGUACCUGACACUGAGACGCGACAGCACGGGGAGCAAACG
rnacentral:rRNA from 1 species